GUGCGGGUGCGGGUGGGGCAGCGACCGAUCACUUUUGCAGGCGGCUGACGGUGGAGUCCCAGGCCCUGACUGCCCACUCUUGUACUGGUAGAGCGGACGCAGCGCACGAUGACCACCUGAGAAUGUUUGAGAAACGGCAGAUCCUCGGCCUCCCCAGAACUACUGAAUUAGAAACUUCGGGAUGGAGCCCUGGAACCUGUUUUAAUAAGUCAUCCAGGUGAUUCUGAUGAACACUGUAGUUCCAGAGGCUUCUAUUUGGAAAACUUUA